UUCAUUUUAAUGGCUGGCUUUCUCUUCUUCUUGCCAAAUUUUGUUUGGUUUGAAGUUUAGAAGGUAAUUAUCCAUUCCUUUCAUUUGUUUGGAUAAGUUGAUUAGGUGGUGAGGGUUUGGCUUGAGGCAAGGAAUAGGUGCAGAAGUAACACUCUUGCGGGCUAUACUCGCUUAAGUUGUAGGCGGUCUUUACGGCCAGUCUUUUGAGAUGGCGUGGUAGACCGGCUGAUUGCUACGUGGGGCAGUUCAGGUGGGAGUGUAGAAUCAUGACUGGACAUUCAUCUGGUAGUCAUUGUCACCAUGUGGUGAACCGAUGGGUCAACAUCAAGGGCAUGAGUACUUUGACAACUCUAAACCUAGUUGCAGCAGCGGUGAAGGUUUGGAGAGGUUUCUAGACCACUUUAUGCUAGCCUUUUGCAGGUAGUUGGUGCGGCGGUGUGGCAGUGUGCUGAGCAUUUGCUACUGUUCUCUCAGUUCAUUUUGUUCAUGUGACUUGGGAUCCACUAGUAUGUAGAAAAGUUUGUUGUUGGCUUGUAGUAUGCAACUCUUAAACCCUUGGUGUAUCAGCUGUGUGUUGUUGUUGUUGUUGUUUCCCUAUGCUGAACCCCUCUAAUUCUGUUUAUUA